rnacentral:lncRNA from 1 species
AAAAAUCCGCUAAACUUAUCGCACAAACUUUUCAUUGAUCUAUUUUUUUCAUUGGGAUUCAAUCCAAAUCAUGAUGUCAUUUUCUUGUUCCUGAAUGAGUUUCAUCAAUUUUUCAAGGUUUAUGCUCUACUUCGAGUAAAGAUCCGCCCGAUUUUGAUUUGCGCAUAUAGGACAAAUGACCCAAUACCACAUCUUUUUGCUAUGAUUUCAUUUCCUUUUUUAUUUUAAUUUAAUUCCUUUUCUUUCAUGUUUUCCGCCAAAUAUUCAACGUAUUUCUCAUAUUAUUCGAUUGAUUAAUAGUUUGAAAUCGUUCUUAUUUCUAUUUCGAAUUUGUAAAUAAAAAAGAUUUAUGAUAUGAUAUAGGUGGUAAUCAUAAAUGUAUUACUAAUUGGGUUUUUUCUAAACGGAGCCUGGAUGCUUCAUUUUUUCGGUCCAACCAAGCCAACCAUAAAUCA